AGUGAACGCUGGCGGUAGGCCUAACACAUGCAAGUCGAACGGCAGCACAGUAAUAGCUUGCUCUUACGGGUGCCGAGUGGCGGACGGUUGCUGAAUACAUCGGAAUCUACUUUUUCGUGGGGGCUAACGUAGGGAAACAUACGCUAAUACCGCAUACGACCUACGGGUGAAAGCAUGGGAUCUUCGGACCUUGCGCGAUUGUAUGAGCCGAUGUCGGAUUAGCUAGUUGGCGGGGUAAAGGCCCACCAAGGCGACGAUCCGUAGCUGGUCUGAGAGGAUGAUCAGCCACACUGGAACUGAGACACGGUCCAGACUCCUACGGGAGGCAGCAGUGGGGAAUAUUGGACAAUGGGCGAAAGCCUGAUCCAGCCAUACCGCGUGGGUGAAGAAGGCCUUCGGGUUGUAAAGCACUUUUGGUGGGAAAGAAAAGCAGCAGGUUAAUACCCCGCUGUUCUGACGGUACCCAAAGAAUAAGCACCGGCUAACUUCGUG
rnacentral:rRNA from 1 species